AUUGAACGCUGGCGGCAGGCUUAACACAUGCAAGUCGAGCGGAGAUGAGGUGCUUGCACCUUAUCUUAGCGGCGUACGGGUGAGUAAUGCUUAGGAAUCUGCCUAUUAGUGGGGGACAACAUUCCGAAAGGAAUGCUAAUACCGCAUACGCCCUACGGGGGAAAGCAGGGGAUCUUCGGACCUUGCGCUAAUAGAUGAGCCUAAGUCGGGUUAGCUAGUUGGUGGGGUAAAGGCCUACCAAGGCGACGAUCUGUAGCGGGUCUGAGAGGAUGAUCCGCCACACUGGGACUGAGACACGGCCCAGACUCCUACGGGAGGCAGCAGUGGGGAAUAUUGGACAAUGGGCGGAAGCCUGAUCCAGCCAUGCCGCGUGUGUGAAGAAGGCCUUUUGGUUGUAAAGCACUUUAAGCGAGGAGGAGGCUACCUGGAUUAAUACUCUAGGAUAGUGGACGUUACUCGCAGAAUAAGCACCGGCUAACUCUGUGCCAGCAGCCGCCGUAAUAC
rnacentral:rRNA from 1 species